rnacentral:lncRNA from 1 species
UGAAAGAAAUGAAACUGAAACUGUUGAAACAGAGAAGAGAGAUUUAGAAGCAAGUUAUGAGAUUGAGCAUGAACGAGAAAAACAUGAAAUCUGAAAUCCGAAAGAGGUAAAAUGGAUGAAGAUGAGGAUACUCUAAGUUGAAAUGAGUUUGAGAGUGAGAAAUCAGUAGCUGACUUUGAGGGUGAGUUGCCAACUGAGAAAAACGAGAUUUCAUAGAGUUUGGAUGACUCUGAACAGAAGUUAUAUCCUCAAGUGGUUUGGUGAGAAGAUAAGUAGUAUGGGUGGGAUUAGAUAGGAUUCAUAUGUUUACAUGAUGUUUACGGCAGCUAACCCUAAUUUAAUUAGAUGAUGAAUUUUACUUUUAUUUGUUUUAAUCAAAAGAAAAAAAAAAUCUAAAAACCAAUUAAUAUCAGUUGGAAAAU